ACUCCUACGGGAGGCAGCAGUGGGAAUAUUGCACAAUGGGCGAAAGCCUGAUGCAGCAACGCCGCGUGAGGGAUGACGGCCUUCGGGUUGUAAACCUCUUUAGUAGGGAAGAAGCGAAAGUGACGGUACCUGCAGAAAAGCACCGGCUAACUACGUGCCAGCAGCCGCGGUAAUACGUAGGGUGCAAGCGUUGUCCGGAAUUAUUGGGCGUAAAGAGCUCGUAGGCGGUUUGUCGCGUCUGCUGUGAAAUCCCGAGGCUCAACCUCGGGCCUGCAGUGGGUACGGGCAAACUAGAGUGUGGUAGGGGAGACUGGAAUUCCUGGUGUAGCGGUGGAAUGCGCAGAUAUCAGGAGGAACACCAAUGGCGAAGGCAGGUCUCUGGGCCACUACUGACGCUGAGGAGCGAAAGCGUGGGGAGCGAACAGGAUUAGAUACCCUGGUAGGCUCUGC
rnacentral:rRNA from 1 species